GAUGAACGCUGGCGGCGUGCCUAAUACAUGCAAGUCGAGCGAACAGACGAGGAGCUUGCUCCUCUGACGUUAGCGGCGGACGGGUGAGGAACACGUGGAUAACCUACCUAUAAGACUGGGAUAACUUCGGGAAACCGGAGCUAAUACCGGAUAAUAUAUUGAACCGCAUGGUUCAAUAGGGAAAGACGGUUUUGCUGUCACUGAUAGAUGGAUCCGCGCCGCAUUAGCUAGUUGGUAAGGUAACGGCUUACCAAGGCAACGAUGCGUAGCCGACCUGAGAGGGUGAUCGGCCACACUGGAACUGAGACACGGUCCAGACUCAUACGGGAGGCAGAAGUAGGGGAUCUUCCGCAAUGGGCGAAAGCGUGACGGAGCAACGGCGCGUGAGUGAUGAAGGUCUUCGGAUCGUAAAACUCUGUUAUUAGGGAAGAACAAAUGUGUAAGUAACUAUGCACGUCUUGACGGUACCUAAUCAGAAAGCCACGGCUAACUACGUG
rnacentral:rRNA from 1 species